AUUGAACGCUGGCGGUAUGCUUUACACAUGCAAGUCGAACGGUAACAGGCCGCCAGGUGCUGACGUGUGGCGAACGGUCGUGUAAUGCAUCGGAACGUGCCCAGCCGUGGGGGCUAACUACUCGAAAGAGUAGCUAAUACCGCAUCCGCUCUAUGGACGAAAGCGGGGGCCCGUAAGGCCUCGCCCGAUUGGAGCGGCCGAUGUCAGAUUAGGUAGUUGGUGGGGUAAAGGCUCACCAAGCCAACGAUCUGUAGCUGGUCUGAGAGGACGACCAGCCACACUGUGAGUGAGACACGGCCCAGACUCCUACGGGAGGCAGCGGUGGGGAAUUUUGGACAAUGGGCGCAAGCCUGAUCCAGCAAUGCCGCGUGCAGGAAGAAGGCCUUCGGGUUGUAAACUGCUUUUGUAGGGAACGAAACGGCUCUGGUUAAUACCCGGGGCUAAUGACGGUACCGUAAGAAUAGGCACCGGCUAACUACGUG
rnacentral:rRNA from 1 species